AUACGUUGCGAUCUUGUCAGCGGCGGUAAUAGAGUGGGGGACCCAGAAUUCCUAUAGAAGACGCCGUAUACAUCAUUUUUUUCAUCCUUCUCCUUAUCUAAGUCCCUUCUACACCUAUGCAAUCCUUUCAAAUUUUAUCUCCCAAAUAUAGUGGUUGUAGAAUCUAAGGUUGGUUACUAUAUUUGGUAUACCUAUUCAUAUCUGUAUUGAGGUUGCAGAACCGAAGGCGAAUCACUGCAUUUAAUAAUCCAUAACUCCUAUAUACCUAUCUGUUGCGAAUAUUACUCUGUUUUGUUAUACAUUUAAACGUGCUGACUUUUUAUAGAAAUCCGCCGAAAGGCUAUACACAACUUCUAAUCAUAUAUGUGUAUUUUUUCGGGGGGAACUCUAACAGACAUUUUAUGCGUUAACCUUCCACCCACUUGCCUUUGAUUACAACAGUUUGUCUAUACGCCUAGAAAAGUGGUAACCGAAAAAACAUCCAUGUGUUCUAUGCGUCGUAUAUAGAACACUCACGUUUACUUUGGGUAAUUUGUAUGUGUGUACACAUAACGGCGNUUUAUCGAUACCUACAUCUAUCCAUAUUGUAUUUUGCACACCCGAGUAACAAUCCAUAUUCAAGUCACUUUUUUCUUACCUACCGUAUUACAACCAAUGAUCUGUUGGUGAAAUUCUAGCUGUUUUGCAGAUCAACGA